rnacentral:miRNA from 1 species
GGCUGAGGUGGGCUCCCU